rnacentral:lncRNA from 1 species
UUUUAUUAAUAAAUAAACUGAAAACAGACAGCCCAAAAAGUGGCCCAAACAAAGAAACCAGAAAACAACAAUAAAAACUUCUAAAAAACUAUCAAGACUUCUGUCUUACAAAAGAAACAUAAAAUCAAUAAAAGAAAAUAAAGCAAAUUAAAAAACCUAACCCAGUCAAAUCAAUGAGCAGCUGGCAACCAAUAACGUCUGACGAUUUGUUAUUUCCAAAGCUCCUAACGUUUAAUUAAUAGCAGUCCCCUAGGCAUUCAAUCUUCACUCUGCUGUCUAUUUCGGUCACAUUUCCUCUGAAGCAGUUCCUCAAUCUGGAUUUCUUGACCGAUAUCCUACCGAAGCCAGAUUCUGACUAUCUAGUUCCUCACCCCUCAGGUAAAUCGUCUCUCCUUUCUCGAAUGCGAUCUUUGCUAUUCUGUGAGCAUCUAAGUUUUCUGACCUGUUAAUAUACUGGAAAAUAAGAUCUUGAAAGUCAGAUUUCUUCUGUUGAAUAUCUCUGAUGAUGGCUCCAAUAACUGAUUUGUCUGUGGAAGUCUCUUGACAUUUCUUUAUUACAGUUUUUGAAUCCCCCAUAAGUUUCACUGAAUGGAUUCGUAAUGAAAUCCCUAACUUUACUCCUUCUAAACAUGCAUGAGCCUCUGCUGCGAAAGGAGAAGAAACAUUUCUGUGAAUAACUAUUUUUAACGCUAUUAAGACUCCCCUCGAGUCCCAACCUACAAGGCCGGACGCUGAACUGGAGGUAUUACUGUCGUACGCUGCAUCAAAAUGGAUCCUGGCUGUCGGUGUAAGCUCUUGUACUCUAUAGCUUCUGCAUGUGACCUCAUUAGUUUUUAAGACUUUUAAUCCUCUCUGUUCUAACUCAUAUCUUUGUAUGUUAAGUACUAAGGCCCUUCCUGGAAUGAUAUUUCUCUCAUGAAUAAGUUGAUUUCUAGAAAACCAUAUCCACCAUAGCGCAUAGCAAAAGGAAAAGCAUUGGUCAUUGUUUCCCCUCUUGAAAACCCAGGUUAACCACUCCCACAUAGUAUGGCUCCUAUUGUUCAUAACCCAUGCGAAAUUUAACAAAUGCCAAACUUCUGCUGUUAUAGGGCAAUCUCGAAAGAUGUGGAGGCUGUCUUCGACCUCAGAGCUGCACCGGGGACAUCUGUCGUUUGAAACCACUCUCCUUAUACUGAGAUUAACAAAGUUUGGAAUAAAGUCCCAAGAGAUCCGCCAGAUUGUAAACGCAAUUUUAGAUGGUAGCUGAAGGCUCCAUAGUUUUUUUAUAAAAAUCCUUUGUUUCGGUUUGUAAUAAAUAGUCACUAGGAUCCAUAUUUGCAUUUUGUAAUAGUUUAUAGGCACUACGAACAGAGAACUCACCAGAUAAUUCCCCUUUCCAAGCCUGAAAAUCAUCAUGCGCAAUCUCUGCAAGAGGAAUUUCAAGGAUUUUCCGAACUAUGUCCUCAGGAAAGGUAUUCUGAAUCAACUCCAAGUUCCAUUUUCUGUUUGAAUGAUCAAGAUGAUCCGCAACUAACUUAAUUUCCCUCCUGGUUGUUCUGUUGUUUACGUCGAUUUUGUCAACCCCCUGAAUCCAACAAUCGUCCCAAACAGAGAUGCUAUCUCCUCUGCCCACUCUCCAGCACAUCCCUUUUUGGAGUAGACCUUUAGCAGCCCAAAUGCUCUUCCAGGUAAAAGAAGGUAAAUUUCCCAGCUUCGCUGUUAAGAAACUAGAAUCCAGAUAAUACUUUGCUUUUAAAGUUCUGGCUAAAAGCGAAUUUGGAAAAUUAAUGAGACGCCAACCUUGUUUCGCUAAUAAUGCAAUAUUGAACUGACCGAAAUUGCGAAACCCAAUUCCACCAUUUUCUUUCAAAAAACAAAGAUUCUUCCAAGUGCACCAAUGGAUUCCUCUUUUUCAAUUCCCUUUCUGCCACCAGAAUUUGGCAACAAUAUGUUCCAGUUCAUCACAAAGUGUUCUAGGAAAUAAGAAGCAUGCCAUCGAAUAGGUAGGGGUAGCCUGUAAAAUGACUUUAAUAAAAACUUCUUUACCUCAUUGUGAAAGAAAUCUAAUACUCCAAUUAUCAAUGCAUUUUUUAAACCUAUCCUUCAGAUUUUGGAAAGCUUCCCUCUUUCUUCGACCCACCAUAUUUGGCAAUCCCAGAUAUCUCUCUGGUUCAUUCGACCUUCAAACCCCCAGCGAGUUAACAACUUGUCUUCUAUCCUCUUCGGAAGUAUUUUUGCUAAAGAAAACAGAUGAUUUUUUCAAAAUUUACACACUGUCCCGAUUGAGAUUUAUAUUCAUCCAAAAUGCCCUUGAAGAUACUUGCACCUCUGCUUGUUGCUUCACCAAACAAAACACAAUCAUCAGCGAAUAAAAGAGGAAAAAUUUGUGGCCCACUUCUACUAACCUUUACGCCAUUUAACGUGCCUCUUUUUACUGCCUGUCUCAAUAAGCUCGAUAAACCUUCGCCACAAAAGAGAAAUAAAAAUGGACUAAGUGGGUCGCCUUGUCUCAAUCCUCUAUUAGGUGAAAAUGUGUCCCCUUUAUGUCCAUUAAUAACAACUGAGUAGGAAAUGGUAGAGACACAAUUCAUAAUGGCCUUCACCCAUUCCGAAUCAAAUCCCAUCAUUAUCAUAAUUUCUUCAAUAAAACUCCACUCCACCCUAUCAUAAGCCUCAGUCAUAUCAAGUUUAACGGCCAUAAACCCUUUUUUCCCCAGCCUCUUCUGUUUUAACUUAUUCAUUACUUUGUAUUCUAGUAUCACAUUAUCAGAGAUUAAUCGACCAGGAACAAAAGCGCUCUGGGUUUCAUCAAUACAAUUCCCGAUCACCUUUCUAAGCCUGCUAGCUAUCACCUUAGCAAUAAUUUUGUAAUUAACAUUACAGAGACUAAUCGACCUGAAUUGCGUCAUUAUUAGAGGAUUAUUAACUUUGGGUAUGAGAACAAUGUUUGUGGAAUUUAUUGAACUAACCUCCAUGCCUCCAUUCAAAAUUCGAGAGCAGUAAGCAAUGACUUCUUCUCCCAUGAUCUGCCAACACUUCUGGUAAAAAACUGUUGGAAGACCAUCUUCCCCUGGUGCCUUCGUUGGCCCCAUAUCAAAAACCGCUGUCGUGAUUUCCUCCCUAGUAUAUAGAGCUAUAAGGAUCUGGUUGUCCUCCUCUUAAAUGCAUAUCUCAAUACCUGCUAAAAUCUGAUUAUUGUUCCUUCUUCGUUCAGUCGUGAACAGUUUCUGGAAGUAAAAUCUCGCAUUUUCUUUAAUUUCCUGUAAAAUCUUCAGCUCUCUUCCUUCUUCGUUCAUCAAUCUGUUAAUAGAAUUUUUCCUCUUCCUUUGUGUAGCUUGACUAUGAAAGAAUUUUGUGUUUUUGUCUCUAAAUGUCAACCAAUUAAUUCUAGCUCUUUGUUCCCAAUAGCAUUCGUCUUUUUCAAUCUCAAAAUUCAAGUUUAGUCUAGUGUCAAUUAGCUCAGCUAAAGUAUUUUCAUCCCGUUCGGCUCCUGCAAGUUCCUCAAGUUUUUUGUGAAGCUCCUGUUUAGAUUUCUUCCUACUCAUUUUCACCUCUCCUGCCCACUCUUUUAAUCCUGUUUUCAAAAUCUCCAAUCUCUGCAGCAAGUCACCUGUUGAACUCUCCCAUAUGCCUUUAACCACCUCAAUAAAAGAUUCCUCCAAUAACCACCAGGCUUCAAAUUUAAAAUUGUUAUUCCAUACCUUUACUCCUUUUUCUGUAGUAUCAAUGAGAAGAGGACAGUGAUCUGAAAACGAAUGGGAAAGAUGUUGAACCUUCACCUCUGGAAACAUCGUAACCCAACCCAUGUUGGCAACUCCUCUAUCAAGGCGUUCUCGUAUAUUUGUCUCAGGUAAAUUACCUCUUUCCCAAGUAAACCAACUACCCUCGAAGCCCACAUCGUUCAAUUGACAAUCAACAAGUGUUUUCCGAAAACACUCCAUUCUUCUCUAGUCUCUGGGAAUUCCUCAUUUCUUUUCGAAACCAUACAUGAUUUCAUUAAAGUCUCCACAAACUAACCAUGGAAUUUCCACUCCAGUGGUCAAUCUUUUCAAAGUAUCCCAUGAAACGUUCCUCUCCUGGACAUAUGUGGAACCAUAGAAUCCUGUGAAUCUCCAUUGUGGCCAAUCUUUUCAAAGUAUCCCAUGAAAUGUUCCUGUCCUGGACAUAUGGGGAACCAUAGAAUCCUGUGAAUCUCCAUUUCACACCUUGCUCAUUAUCUUCGACUAACACGUCAAUAUGCCUUUUAGAAAAACUACGAAGACUAACAUCAAUAUUUGCUCUCCAUGCCAAACAUAACCCUCCCCUUGUACCUUCAGAAUCAACUUCAAUGCCAUUAUGAAACCCACAUCUCAUGUGAACUACUUCAAUCUAUUUUCUGUUAAGUUUUGUCUCCAUGAAGAAGAUAAUUUGGGGAUUUUUUAACUUUAGUACAUAUCGAAGUCUUCGAACUGCGUCAAGCAUCGGACGUUCCAGCAUAAUAUUUUCAUUGCGACAGGUCGGCUCUUGGUAGCCGCCGAUGAUAAAAGUAUCUGUCCUUCCAUCUCACCUCUAUUUUGCUUCUUCCCCUCUUCCCCCAUUAAAACUUCAUCCUCUAGAUCAUGAUCCAUUAAUUUGUGAAUCUUAUAUGAUCAUGGUUUCUCCAAAACUGUUCCUUUCCCUUCUAAACUAAAACCCUGUAUUGGAUCACUGGUUUUCAUCUCACUACCUCUUGGAAUCCCAUUCCUUGAACCCAUCUCCCCUAAUCUGUUCUCCAUCCAACAGCCUUCCCUAACCCCCUUAUCCUCUUCACGCAGCCAAAUACUAUUCGUUGACAAGGCUCUAUGUGAUGGAGCCCACAGGGAUAAAUCCCAACUCAACUCUAUGGGAUCUGAUCCAACCAUCAUUUUUGUCUCAAUAAGAAUCAUUAUGACCCAACCGACCACAGAAAAAAUAAAACAGUGAUAAACGUUCAUACUUGAAUUUGACGUACGAACAAACACCAUUAGACGUAACCUGCUUCUUUCUCCUUAAUGGCUUCCUGACAUCAAUCUGCACCCUGACUCUCAUAAAAUUACUUUUUUCCUUGCCCAGAUUUGAUGCAUCAUACUCUAAAAAUACUCCAAUAAAAUUCCCCAGUAACGUUGCUAAACUUUUAGAGAAUCAACCCAUUGGAACAUCAUGGAUUUGUACCCAGAAUGGAACAUAUAUUAACGGUAUUUUUAACGGAUCUUCACCUCUGUUCAGAUUGCUCAGAAUUAAUAGAUGAUUGUUAAACGUCCAAGGAAGGCCCUUUAGAACUCUCUCCAAAUCCAUACUAUGGAAGAACUUAAAAAUGUACCUUUUUUCUCCCAAAUCACGAAUCUGUACCCCACAAAUGGGGUGCCAUAAAUUUGCUAGGGUACUUUUCAUAGCCGAAAAAUUUAUGAUACUUGCUGGUAAGAAACAUCCCACAAGCUGAUAAUCGCCCACGUCUGUAUGCGGUUGUAGAUCAUCCUGAAUCUGCAAGAUCUCUUAUUCUUCUUCAUUAAUUGAUAAUUGGGCUAAUUCAGUCUCCAUGGUUGCAGGAAUUAAAGGAACGCUUCCGCCAACCAAUUAAAGAGAGAUCAAUCGCGGAAAUCGUAGGGAAUAAAAUAAAAGAGAUCAAGACCCCUCAAAAUCCAAAAAAACAUAAACUUUAAACCUAAGAACCCAUGCCAGAGACGGCAGACAGAACCCGUGCCAGAGACGGCAGACUUUUUUUGAAAUAUUUAUUAUAUGCCCAGAGCAGAGAACCAGGAAGCUGAUAGACUUGCCAAGAUGGCUCACUCAGGAAGUCAAGGUUUGCGAAUGUUUAGAAGACCCCCAUUUGGAGAGUUAGGCCAAUUGGCAUAGUUUAUUUCUAGUAAUUUUCUAUUUUUCACCAAAAAAAAUAAUAUAUUGUAAUUAAAAUCUAAGAUCAAGACUUUAUGAAGACUCCUUAAAGGAAGAUUAGACCACUAAACAAUUGAAGAAGAGUCCUUCUUGUUUUCCAACUAUUUUCUCUACAAUUCCUCACAAUAUUUUGAACCUUUGUACUAAAAGUGUGGUAAAAGUAUCAUGAAAAUCAUGUAUUAGGAGUUAGAUUGCAUCUUAUCCCCUUUAUUUAAAAAAUUAGAUAAAUUAAUACUUACACAUUAGAUUAAAGAAUAAAUUAGUCUUUUCUGUUAAAAAUU